GUUGCGCUUCAUGCCUGAUGGCAGGAUACGGAGCAGUUCGUUUGGUAUGCCGUCAGGGCCUGUCGCCUUGUUUCUGGAGAGGUGAGAAAUGCACUGCUCAAAAUUUGCCGUGUCUGCCAUGCUGGGGAGCAUGGAGUGUGUGUCAGGGUGCCGGUUGCGGUCCAGUGUGAAUUGAUCUGUUGCGUCGGCUUUCUCAAAGGGGUAGCCGCGUGUGGUGUUGCUGGGUAGUCGGAAGUCCCCAGUGCGGGUGCCGCGUGGUGGGGCGGACAGCUUUCGGAAGUGGGUUUCGAGUAUGGCGAGGAUGCUGGUGGAGUCAGUCGUCACCUCCCCAGUUUCUGGGUUCCGGACCGCUGGGAGACCCCGUUCCAUGUCUUCCUUCUGAAAGGUUCUCUUGUGCCCCUGUGCAGGGCGCGUGGCCAAGGUAUGUUGCAGCGCUGUGGCAGCGGCCUCUCGCUGGGCUUUGGCGCGGUCCGCCACUAGCUGGCGGUGCUCGGCCUGGCAGGCCUUUAUUUCGUUCCGCAGCUUUGCUGCUGCAUUGGCGGCGUCAAUCUCAGGUAGGGCCCGGGGCCCUUGCGUGAGGUUUGUCAGUUGUGUCUUCAGGGCCACUUCCUUGUCCCAUAGGGGCUUUAGCACCCGUGCGGUGGAGCGUGAUGCGUGGUGUUUGCCAGUGAAGGGGGCUUUCCGGGUGCACUCUUCAAGGAGGCAUGUUAGCCCGGUGUCCAGUGCGGAGGCAAGUUGUUCUGCAAGUUGGUUGAUAUCGGCCUUCUGGAUGCUCGUGUCCUGCGCCAGGUCUCGGUGCAUGACGCUGGCGGGGUAGCCUGUGGGGUCCAUGCUGUGCCUUGUGAGUGCAUGUUCAAUUGAUUGCGUUGCCUGCCUUGUUGCGGAAUGCAGGUCGGCUGUUGCUUCCACCAAGGCUUCCUCAAGGUGGAUAGCUGCGGCGGCCAGUUGCUUUUGUGUGACGGGCAGGGCGACCUCGGCCCAUCGUUGUUGGGUCUGCUGCUGGGGGGCUGGGUUCCGGGCGCUGGCCUGUGGUGCCGGCCAUAGCUGUAGGUCCGCGGCUAGUAACUCUGCGUGGACUGGUUUGUGGUCAAAGUUGCCUGCAACUGUACUGGUGUAUUCACGCGCUUCUGUGCAUGCAGCGCGCGUGGCAGGGCAUAGCAGGAUGUCAUCGAUGCGACUGUGGUAUGGGGCCAUGCCCGGGCGUGUUUGUUCGUAUGACCAUUCGGCGGUGGUAGUGGUGUCUCCGCGAAUAGGUCGCAGGCCACUGUCGGCAAGGAACCGCUGGUGGGCCCGGUCCGCCGUGUCGAUGGGGCUGUCCCGCUCAUGUGCUCGGGCGACGGCAUUAAAGUCUCCCGCGGUGACUAGGUGGUGUCCGCACGCUUCCGCCCGGCCCAUCACCUGCUGACAGUAUGUGUAGAUUGCCUUGCGGGUUUGCAUGUCCUCUGGUGCAUAGAUGCCCAGCACAGUGAGAGGCGUGCUCCCGGGGGUCUUGAUUUGAACGUGUGACACAUAGCCAUGGAGUGUUGGUGGGGGUGUGUGGUGUGUGACACAGCCGAGGUCACUGUACCGGGCGGAGAUGGCCACCGCUACGCCAGCGCUACCGCGCGCUGUGGCCACGCGGGGGGUAGUGCUACAGUAGAGCCGGUAUCCUUCAUUUCGGAAGGCUCGCUUGAUUGAGUCAGUCUUCCCUGUCAGUUUUGUCUCGGUUCGGACAACUAUGUCGGCUUUCCACUGGGCUAGGUUGCAGAGGGUGAAGCUGAGGUUGCCGGGAUGGCCGGUGGACAAAAUUUCUGAGAGCAGUCCCCGUACAUUGUGGGUCACAAUGUGUAGGGUGGUGUUGCUGCUGGGGGGUCGUGUGUUUGCGUGUGCCUGGUUGGGUUCCAUGUGGGCAUGGUUGCGUGCAGUGGGCCGUACUAGCCAGUUAAGGAUAGUUUGUCGGGUGCCUGUCGUGUUGAGUCGGGGUGCUAUGCCAGCAUUUGCAUUGUGUGGCUGCGCGGGUGCGGUAGUGUGGGGUGCUGCAUGCUGUGGCGCCCUGUGUGCUGCCCGCAGCGGUGAGUUGUCUUGGGCAUGUUGAGCUGGCUCUGGUGCCGGCCUUCCUGUGGCGGCGGGCCCUGUCUGCACGGGUCUGGUGGCCUCCAUGUGGGGUGGCGGGCGUGGUGGCGGGACGAUCUCACGGAGUUGCCCAAGUGCGUCCUGUAGUGUUGCCGUGUCAGAUGCACGCACCGCGUCAAGGCACCAGGCCUCCCCAUCAAGUGUGUCCCAAGUGUUGUCGUGUAAGACCGUGUUGUGGAUAGGGCUGUUCACCGAGUCUAUUACUCUCCAUUGUCCUGCGUCGUAGCGCACAGCAAUUGUGUGUCGCACAGUGUACUGGUGGACGGUAAAGCCGCGAGUUCGGGCGGCUACCGGAAGGUUCUCUAGGACCUUUUCUUUGCUGAUGUCGCCAUCGAGUCGCGGAAAGUGGGUUCGGCGCAUAAUCAGCUUCCUGUUGGGGUAGGCGAAUAUGUUGCUGAUGGUGGCAUUGUGGUACAGGUAGUGGUUCAGGAGAAGUUCGCUGAAGGCGCCACUGUUGGGGCAGUAGCAUUCUUUCCAGAACAGGGCAUUCGGGUCUUGCGUGGCUGUGAGGUGAGCGUGCACUCGUUUAGCGUAGGAGAGGACAUCUAGAGGGUCGAGCCAUGCGAGCCCCAAAGAGUUGUUGACGGCUUGGACACUGCAGAAGUGUUGCCGCUGUGUUUCACGGUAUGUUGCAUUGGACCGGGGCGGCCAGUGCAGCGCGGCUGGUGGUUGGGUGUUCACUGCCGCAUGAAUGCGAGGGUCGGCGGGCGCCGGCGGGGCUGUCGGGCCUGUGGGCAGCGCACCUCGCAGUGUUGGCUUGACGUAGGGCACCGUGUGUGUCCGGUUUACUGCAUAUGUAAGCGUGAGGAGAGUGGUUGCCUGGCUAGCAGUAAGUAGGCCGGUGGCCAGUGCUGGCCCCCAGAGUGUCAGCUGUGCCGGUUGCACACUGCAAGGGUCCGGCAGUGUGAGGUACAGGUUUCGCAGGAUGAUGGCCAUGGCAGUUCCCCAGAGUAGGAGCN
rnacentral:lncRNA from 1 species